GAUAAACUCACUGGUCUAUGAAGCUGGAUUUGGAUGAAAUUCUUUCUUUGAUUGAUUUUGACAUUUUGAUCAGCCUCUUCAAAAACAUCUGUAAAAACCCUUGGAGAUUAAAAGGAAAGAAGGAAGCAAGAAAUUAAGAAGCUUUCAGGCAACAUAUAUUCCUAAUACUGCAUGAGAAGUUAUCAAGCUCUUUUAGAUGCUGUGGGUACUGCAUGGCUUUCUGUAGCCCUCUUCUGGAUGUCUUAGUACUGCAUGAGGAUCUUCAUGGAGAUCUAUCAUCCUCUUCUGGAUGCUUUGAACAUUGCAUGGGAGCCCUCUUCUGGCUGCUGCAGGUACUGCUCGGGGAGUCUUGCCCUUUUCUGGAUGCUUAGUGUAGUGCAUGGGAAGGUUGAAUCACACUCUCUUGUGGAUGUGUUUGGGUACUGCAUUAGGUAGUAGCACCCUCUUUGAGAUGCUUUGGGUACUGUGGGGGGGGCCCUUCAUAGUGCUCUAUAUCCCUUUUCUCUUGGUGACAAAAUAAUUCUUUUUUGAAUAAGCCAAACAUUUACUCAAUCCCAGGAUCCAAUGCUCCUGGAUUACCAGCUCAAGAAAAACUUGUGUUCUUCAAAAGGAAAAGGCUAUGUAUUUCUU